rnacentral:rRNA from 1 species
ACUCCUACGGGAGGCAGCAGUGGGGAAUAUUGCACAAUGGGGGAAACCCUGAUGCAGCCAUGCCGCGUGUGUGAAGAAGGCCUUGGGUUGUAAAGCACUUUCAGUAGGGAGGAAGGUAGUGUAGUUAACACCUGCAUUAUUUGACGUUACCUACAGAAGAAGCACCGGCUAACUCCGUGCCAGCAGCCGCGGUAAUACGGGAGGGUGCGAGCGUUAAUCGGAAUUACUGGGCGUAAAGCGCAUGCAGGCGGCCUGUUAAGUCAGAUGUGAAAGCCCGGGGUCUUAACCGUCGGAAUUGCAUUUGAAACUGGCAGGCUAGAGUCUUGUAGAGGGGUUAGAAUUUCGAGGUGUAGCGGUGAAAUGCGUAGAGAUCUGAAGGAAUACCGAGUGGCGAAGGCGGCCCCUGGAC